UGGGGAAUAUUGCACAAUGGGCGAAAGCCUGAUGCAGCAACGCCGCGUGAGUGAUGAAGGUCUUCGGAUUGUAAAGCUCUGUCUUUUGGGACGAUAAUGACGGUACCAAAGGAGGAAGCCACGGCUAACUACGUGCCAGCAGCCGCGGUAAUACGUAGGUGGCGAGCGUUGUCCGGAUUUACUGGGCGUAAAGGGUGCGUAGGCGGAUGUUUAAGUGAGAUGUGAAAUACCCGGGCUUAACUUGGGUGCUGCAUUUCAAACUGGAUAUCUAGAGUGCAGGAGAGGAGAAUGGAAUUCCUAGUGUAGCGGUGAAAUGCGUAGAGAUUAGGAAGAACACCAGUGGCGAAGGCGAUUCUCUGGACUGUAACUGACGCUGAGGCACGAAAGCGUGGGUAGCAAACAGGAUUAGAUACCCUGGUAGUCCACGCCGUAAACGAUGAGUACUAGGUGUAGGAGGUAUCGACCCCUUCUGUGCCGCAGUAAAACACAUUAAG
rnacentral:rRNA from 1 species